rnacentral:lncRNA from 1 species
UGAUUCUUAUGUAUACUGUGAAAGUAAUUAUUAAAUAUAAAAAGUUCAAAAAUACAUGAACUUGGGUUUAGAAAUAAAAUUUGGAAUUGAGAAUGAGAAUUGUCUUAGGAAUGACACGCUAAAAUAUACCGAAAUUAGAUGGCUUAGAUUAAGCACAGAAUAAAGUCCUAGAUGGCAACGAUACGGAGGGAAUGUCAUAGCCCACGGUGAAAGUC